GGGGGCAUAGCUCAGUUGGGAGAGCAGCAGACUGAAGGUUUCUUGCUUUCUGAAGGUCCCGCGUUCAAUCCGCGGUGCCCCCA